rnacentral:rRNA from 1 species
AUUGAACGCUGGCGACAUGCUUUACACAUGCAAGUCGAACGGUAACAGGGUGCUUGCACCGCUGACGAGUGGCGAACGGGUGAGUAAUGCGUCGGAACGUGCCGAGUAGUGGGGAUAACGCAGCGAAAGUUGUGCUAAUACCGCAUACGUACUGAGGUAGAAAGUGGGGGACCUUCGGGCCUCACGCUAUUCGAGCGGCCGACGUCUGAUUAGCUAGUAGGUGAGGUAAAGGCUCACCUAGGCGACGAUCAGUAGCGGGUCUGAGAGGAUGAUCGGCCACACUGGGACUGAGACACGGCCCAGAGUCCUACGGGAGGCAGCAGUGGGGAAUUUUGGACAAUGGGCGAAAGCCUGAUCCAGCCAUGCCGCGUGUCUGAAGAAGGCCUUCGGGUUGUAAAGGACUUUUGUCGGGGAGGAAAUCCCCAGCGCUAAUACCGCUGGGGGAUGACAGUACCUGAAGAAUAAGCACCGGCUAACUACGUGCCAGCCGCCGCGGUAAAAC